rnacentral:tRNA from 1 species
GCUGCGGGUGGUCGACGCGGGCGGUCAGGCGGUGCUGCUGGCGCCGACGGAGGUGCUCGCGCAGCAGCACGCGCGCUCGGUCACCGCGCUCCUCGGCG